rnacentral:rRNA from 1 species
AUUGAACGCUGGCGGCAGGCCUAACACAUGCAAGUCGAACGGUAACAGGAAGAAGCUUGCUUCUUUGCUAACGAGUGGCGGACGGGUGAGUAAUGUCUGGGAAACUGCCUGAUGGAGGGGGAUAACUACUGGAAACGGUAGCUAAUACCGCAUAACGUCGCAAGACCAAAGAGGGGGACCUUCGGGCCUCUUGCCAUCGGAUGUGCCCAGAUGGGAUUAGCUAGUAGGUGGGGUAACGGCUCACCUAGGCGACGAUCCCUAGCUGGUCUGAGAGGAUGACCAGCCACACUGGAACUGAGACACGGUCCAGACUCCUACGGGAGGCAGCAGUGGGGAAUAUUGCACAAUGGGCGCAAGCCUGAUGCAGCCAUGCCGCGUGUGUGAAGAAGGCCUUCGGGUUGUAAAGUACUUUCAGCGGGGAGGAAGGGAGUAAAGUUAAUACCUUUGCUCAUUGACGUUACCCGCAGAAGAAGCACCGGCUAACUCCGUG